UCAUCAUCUAACUAAUUACUCUCUCUUUUAAAAUAAGAAUCCAUGCGUUCACAUUAUAUGGAUAUGUCUAACUCUCUUUGCAUAAAUGAAAAUGAUUGCUCUCAUCUCAGAGCAUCAAAGAAGGCCAAGAAGAAGAAGAAGAAGAAGAAGGUGGUGCUAAUAAUCUUGAUGAUGAUUAUAUGGGAAACAAAUCUAGAAACAACCAGCAUGUACUAUUUAAUUUUUACUUUCAUAGUUGAGAAGCAUAUAUAACUCAAAGAGCAUCUCGUUAAUAUUCUUCUUUCUUCUUGUCACUUUACAAUUCGAUGCAACUCUCUGAACAUACACUUAGCUAGGCCGCGUUGGUAAAAAGCCAUGUCUAUCAUGAAAUAACAGUUAUAACUAGGAAAUAAAUAUUGAUAAGUUUUAUAAAUUUUUUAUCAAACCAACUACAAGAUCAAACCACUCUUAACUUCCUAAUUCGUGGUAAAAUUAAUAAAUGUAUAAUUUUCUUUUUUGCAGGCAAUAGGUGUUGGAAUUUAGUCCUGAAUGGAACACUCAUUUGAGCAAGAUAAACAAAGUGACUUGAGUGUCUGAAGAACAGGUUUCUUAUAAGAUUUUAGAACCUCGACCUCGGACCUUCGUUACUUUCUUAAUAAGUUGUCUUUACUUUUCUAUAUACACAAUUUAAUUAAACGUUACUUUAUUUUAAAAAAAAAAUUUUACAUGCCAUACAAUAAAUACAAACUAAGUAAAUAUUUUAUGCGAUCUCAUACCCUUCACAAGCCUUGUAAAAUUAAUUGAAUGUAAAAGCAAUGUAAGCGAGAAAGAAAGGAGUUGUAUUGAUCACUGAAUUAAUGGUGGUUGCAGAAUUGUAACGCAGAUCGUGGUGAUUGAUUUUAGGAUUGUUGUCUUUAACCGUUGUAACUUGUAAAGACUAGACUUGUAUCAGAUUAAUUUUGAAUCAAUAGUUGAUUACGAUUUACAAAUUGACAACCAUACCAUUAAAU
rnacentral:lncRNA from 1 species